rnacentral:rRNA from 1 species
GGGUUGUGAGGUUAAGCGACUAAGCGUACACGGUGGAUGCCCUGGCAGUCAGAGGCGAUGAAGGACGUGCUAAUCUGCGAUAAGCGUCGGUAAGGUGAUAUGAACCGUUAUAACCGGCGAUUUCCGAAUGGGGAAACCCAGUGUGAUUCGUCACACUAUCAUUAACUGAAUCCAUAGGUUAAUGAGGCGAACCGGGGGAACUGAAACAUCUAAGUACCCCGAGGAAAAGAAAUCAACCGAGAUUCCCCCAGUAGCGGCGAGCGAACGGGGAGGAGCCCAGAGCCUGAAUCAGUGUGUGUGUUAGUGGAAGCGUUUGGAAAGGCGCGCGAUACAGGGUGACAGCCCCGUACACAAAAAUGCACAU